rnacentral:rRNA from 1 species
GACGAACGCUGGCGGCGUGCUUAACACAUGCAAGUCGAACGGAAAGGCCCUGCUUUUGUGGGGUGCUCGAGUGGCGAACGGGUGAGUAACACGUGAGUAACCUGCCCUUGACUUUGGGAUAACUUCAGGAAACUGGGGCUACUACCGGAUAGGAGCUCCUGCUGCAUGGUGGGGGUUGGAAAGUUUCGGCGGUUGGGGAUGGACUCGCGGCUUAUCAGCUUGUUGGUGGGGUAGUGGCCUACCAAGGCUUUGAUGGGUAGUCGGCCUGGGAGGGUGACCGGCGACAUUGGGACUAAGAGACGGACCAGACGGCUACGGUGGGCAGCAGUGGGGAGUAUUGCACAGUGGGGGGAAGCCUGUUGCAGCAACGCCGGGUGCGGGAUGACGGCCUUCGGGUGAUGAACCGCUUUCGCCUGUGACGAAGCGUGAGUGACGGUAAUGGGUAAAGAAGCACCGGCUAACUACGUG